ACGGGGUGCAGCAGGCGCGAAACCUUCACACUGUGCGAAAGCGCGAUGAGGGGAUCCCAAGUGCUUGCACGUAAGUGUAAGCUGUUUCUUUGUUUAAAACGCAGAGAGAGGAAGGGCUGGGUAAGACGGGUGCCAGCCGCCGCGGUAAUACCUGCAGCUCGAGUGGUGACCGCUAUUAUUGGGCCUAAAACGUCCGUAGCCGGCUGAGUAAAUGCUUGGGUAAAUCGUGCCGCUUAACGGUACGAAUUCCGGGUAAACUGCUCAGCUUGAGAUCGGGAGAAGCUAGAGGUACUCCUGGGGG
rnacentral:rRNA from 1 species